GUAGGUGGCAAGCGUUGUCCGGAAUUAUUGGGCGUAAAGCGCGCGCAGGCGGUUCUUUAAGUCUGAUGUGAAAGCCCACGGCUCAACCGUGGAGGGUCAUUGGAAACUGGAGAACUUGAGUACAGAAGAGGAAAGCGGAAUUCCACGUGUAGCGGUGAAAUGCGUAGAGAUGUGGAGGAACACCAGUGGCGAAGGCGGCUUUCUGGUCUGUAACUGACGCUGAGGCGCGAAAGCGUGGGGAGCAAACAGGGAUUAGAUACCCUGGUAGUCCACGCCGUAAACGAUGAGUGCUAAGUGUUAGGGGGUUUCCGCCCCCCUAGUGCUGCAGCUAACGCAUUAAGCACUCCGCCUGGGGAUACGGCCGCAAGGCUG
rnacentral:rRNA from 1 species